AUUGAACGCUGGCGGCAGGCCUAACACAUGCAAGUCGAGCGGAUGAAGGGUGCUUGCUCCUGGAUUCAGCGGCGGACGGGUGAGUAAUGCCUAGGAAUCUGCCUGGUAGUGGGGGAUAACGUCCGGAAACGGGCGCUAAUACCGCAUACGUCCUGAGGGAGAAAGUGGGGGAUCUUCGGACCUCACGCUAUCAGAUGAGCCUAGGUCGGAUUAGCUAGUUGGUGGGGUAAAGGCCUACCAAGGCGACGAUCCGUAACUGGUCUGAGAGGAUGAUCAGUCACACUGGAACUGAGACACGGUCCAGACUCCUACGGGAGGCAGCAGUGGGGAAUAUUGGACAAUGGGCGAAAGCCUGAUCCAGCCAUGCCGCGUGUGUGAAGAAGGUCUGCGGAUGGUAAAGCACUUUAAGUUGGGAGGAAGGGCAGUAAGUUAAUACCUUGCUGUUGUGACGAUACCAACAGAAUAAGCACCGUCUAACUGCG
rnacentral:rRNA from 1 species